UACGGGGGGGGCAAGCGUUGUUCGGAAUUACUGGGCGUAAAGGGCUCGUAGGCGGCCAACUAAGUCAGACGUGAAAUCCCUCGGCUUAACCGGGGAACUGCGUCUGAUACUGGAUGGCUUGAGUUUGGGAGAGGGAUGCGGAAUUCCAGGUGUAGCGGUGAAAUGCGUAGAUAUCUGGAGGAACACCGGUGGCGAAGGCGGGCUACUGGGCUGAUACUGACGCUGAGGCGCGAAAGCCAGGGGAGCAAACGGG
rnacentral:rRNA from 1 species